GAUGAAGAACGUAGCGAAAUGCGAUAUGUAGUGUGAAUUGCAGAGGUAUGUGAAUCAUCGAAUCUUUGAACGCAAAUUGCACUCUUCGGUAUUCCGAGGAGUAUGCCUGUUUGAGGGUCGCUUAACAAACAUCGAUUUCAUUGCUUUUUUUUUUAAAGUAAUGUUUAUCGGAUUUGAGCCGUCUUUUUUUUUUAUAUUAAAGUGGCUUAAAAUUGAUUAUUCUGGUAUGAUCCAAGCGUAUUUUAUGAUCAAUUUUUGGUUAAAGAAACGCAUACGUACCAUCAUUCAUAUGAUGUAAUACGUUUGACUAUUGGAUUAGUUCAUUCGUAUACGAUAUUUUUCAAAUUUUGACCUCAAAUCAGGUAAGAACACCCGCUGAACUUAAGCAUAUCAAUAAGCGGAGGA
rnacentral:misc_RNA from 1 species